rnacentral:rRNA from 1 species
AUAGCUCAGUAACACGUGGCCAAACUACCCUGUCGAUCGGGACACCCUCGGGAAACUGAGGCUAAUCCCGGAUACGGCUCGCUGCCUGGAGUUGGCGCGAGCCCGAAACGUUCAGGCGCGACAGGAUGUGGCUGCGGCCGAUUAGGUAGACGGUGGGGUAACGGCCCACCGUGCCGAUAAUCGGUACGGGUUGUGAAAGCAAGAGCCCGGAGACGGAAUCUGAGACAAGAUUCCGGGCCCUACGGGGCGCAGCAGGCGCGAAACCUUUACACUGCACGCGAGUGCGAUAGGGGGACUCCAAGUGCGAGGGCAUACAGUCCUCGCUUUUCACCACCGUAAGGAGGUGGUAGAAUAAGUGCUGGGCAAGACCGGUGCCAGCCGCCGCGGUAAUACCGGCAGCACGAGUGAUGACCGCUAUUAUUGGGCCUAAAGCGUCCGUAGCCGGCCGGGCAAGUCCAUCGGGAAAUCCGCACGCCUAACGUGCGGGCGUCCGGUGGAAACUGUUCGGCUUGGGACCGGAAGAUCCAGAGGGUACGUCUGGGGUAGGAGUGAAAUCCUGUAAUCCUGGACGGACCACCGGUGGCGAAAGCGCUCUGGAAAGACGGAUCCGACGGUGAGGGACGAAAGCUUGGGUCACGAACCGGAUUAGAUACCCGGGUAGUCCAAGCUGUAAACGAUGUCUGCUAGGUGUGGCACAGGCUA